rnacentral:rRNA from 1 species
UGCGUAGUCGGUUAUUUAAGUCAGGUGUGAAAUCCCCGGGCUCAACCUGGGAAUUGCAUUUGAUACUGGAUAGCUAGAGUUCGGCAGAGGGAAGUGGAAUUUCUGGUGUAGCGGUGAAAUGCGUAGAUAUCAGAAGGAACAUCAGUGGCGAAAGCGACUUCCUGGACCAGAACUGACGAUCAGGCACGAAAGCGUGGGAGCAAACA